CACGUAGGGACCAAGCGUUGUCCGGAUUUAUUGGGCGUAAAGCGCUCGUAGGCGGUUCGGUAAGUCGGGUGUGAAACCUCCAGGCUCAACCUGGUGACGCCACCCGAUACUGCCAUGACUUGAGUUCGGUAGGGGAGCGGGGAAUUCCUGGUGUAGCGGUGAAAUGCGCAGAUAUCAGGAGGAACACCGGUGGCGAAGGCGCCGCUCUGGGCCGAAACUGACGCUGAGGAGCGAAAGCGUGGGGAGCGAACAGG
rnacentral:rRNA from 1 species